CACGGCUCACAGCAGCCCCCUGGGACGCGCUGCCUCAGGCAGCUGGAGGGACAGCCUGAGCCCCUCACUGGGGCUGCUGUGGGGAGGAGGCCACUGCUGCCACCUGCUCGUAGGCUGCUAGAGAGAGGAGAGGGCUCUGAGCUGUGCACCUGGCCCUGAGGGACCCAGGCAUCCCCGGUCCCUGGGAGCUCCCAGAUACAUGUACACCCAGGGAAGAACGAGUGACACACAUUAAGGGCUCAGCCACAAAGGUAAAAAGCCUGUGAGAGCAUCCAGUCCAUCCCGGACAUUCUCAGAAAUACAAGCAAGGAACACAGCAUGGAGCCCAGCACCAGGAGAAUCUUGGAAUUUUGCCCCUCUCUUACUGCUGUGUCUAAACUUUUGUAGGUAUGAAACACAUUUAGAAAGCUUUUUAAAUGUCAUUUUAUGAUAAUUUUAGCAAAGGUUUCGGUUGCUACUAAUUUCAAUUGAUUUUCCUCAUUACAGGUCCUACUUCCUGCUUCUUUGUGUGAUUGGGAGUCUUUGAUUGACAGAAAUUAUGAAUUUUACCUCUUGGUUGUCAGAUAUCUUUUAUUCUAUAAAUAAAAUAUCUUUGGAACUUUGUUCUGGGAUGUACA
rnacentral:lncRNA from 1 species